rnacentral:antisense_RNA from 1 species
CUUGACGGAGCCGAGCCACAGCGGCUCGUCCGCCGCCCGGUCCUGCCCAUAGGUGGCGAGCACGGCCUGGGCCUC